UACGUAGGGUGCGAGCGUUGUCCGGAAUUAUUGGGCGUAAAGGGCUCGUAGGCGGUCUGUCACGUCGGGAGUGAAAACUCAGGGCUUAACCCUGAGCCUGCUUCCGAUACGGGCAGACUAGAGGUAUGCAGGGGAGAAUGGAAUUCCUGGUGUAGCGGUGAAAUGCGCAGAUAUCAGGAGGAACACCCGUAGCGAAGGCGGCACUCUGGGCCGAUACUGACACUGAGGAGCGAAAGCGUGGGGAGCAAACAGG
rnacentral:rRNA from 1 species